UGCGUAGGCGGAAUGAUAAGUUAGUGGUGAAAGCCCCCGGCUUAACCGGGGAACUGCCAUUAAUACUGUCAUUCUUGAGUAUAGUUGAAGUGGGCGGAAUGUAUUAUGUAGCGGUGAAAUGCUUAGAUAUGAUACAGAACACCGAUAGCGUAGGCAGCUUGCUAAGCUAUAACUGACGCUCAGGCACGAAAGCGUGGGGAGCAAACA
rnacentral:rRNA from 1 species